rnacentral:rRNA from 1 species
UGGGGAAUAUUGCACAAUGGGCGAAAGCCUGAUGCAGCGACGCCGCGUGAGGGAUGACGGCCUUCGGGUUGUAAACCUCUUUCAGCAGGGAAGAAGCGAAAGUGACGGUACCUGCAGAAGAAGCGCCGGCUAACUACGUGCCAGCAGCCGCGGUAAUACGUAGGGCGCAAGCGUUGUCCGGAAUUAUUGGGCGUAAAGAGCUCGUAGGCGGUUAGUCGCGUCUGCUGUGAAAACUCGAGGCUCAACCUCGGGCUUGCAGUGGGUACGGGCUGACUAGAGUGCGGUAGGGGUGACUGGAAUUCCUGGUGUAGCGGUGGAAUGCGCAGAUAUCAGGAGGAACACCGAUGGCGAAGGCAGGUCACUGGGCCGCAACUGACGCUGAGGAGCGAAAGCAUGGGGAGCGAACAGGAUUAGAUACCCUGGUAGUCCAUGCCGUAAACGUUGGGCACUAGGUGUGGGGUCCAUUCCACGGGUUCCGUGCCGUAGCUAACGCAUUAAGUGCCCCGCCUGGGGAGUACGGCCGCAAGGCUAAAACUUAAAUGAAUU